AACGAACGCUGGCGGCAUGCCUAACACAUGCAAGUCGAACGAGACCUUCGGGUCUAGUGGCGCACGGGUGCGUAACGCGUGGGAACCUGCCCUUAGGUUCGGAAUAACUCCCCGAAAGGGGUGCUAAUACCGGAUAAUGUCUUCGGACCAAAGAUUUAUCGCCUUUGGAUGGGCCCGCGUUGGAUUAGCUAGUUGGUAGGGUAAAAGCCUACCAAGGCGACGAUCCAUAGCUGGUCUGAGAGGAUGAUCAGCCACACUGGGACUGAGACACGGCCCAGACUCCUACGGGAGGCAGCAGUGGGGAAUAUUGGACAAUGGGCGAAAGCCUGAUCCAGCAACGCCGCGUGAGUGAUGAAGGCCUUAGGGUUGUAAAGCUCUUUUACCCGGGAUGAUAAUGACAGUACCGGGAGUAUAAGCUCCGGCUAACUCCGUG
rnacentral:rRNA from 1 species